AACAAACGCUGGCGGCGUGCCUAAUACAUGCAAGUCGAACGGGGAAAGCUUUCGGGUGAGUACUAGUGGCGCACGGGUGAGGAACGCGUGGAUAAUCUGCCUUAGAGUGGGGGAUAACUAGUCGAAAGAUUAGCUAAUACCGCAUAAGACCACAGGAGCUGCGGCUCUAGGGGUCAAAGGUUUUUCGCUCUAAGAUGAGUCCGCGUAAGAUUAGCUAGUUGGUGAGGUAACGGCUCACCAAGGCGACGAUCUUUAACUAGUCUGAGAGGAUGAUCAGUCACACUGGAACUGAGACACGGUCCAGACUCCUACGGGAGGCAGCAGUAGGGAAUAUUGCACAAUGGAGGAAACUCUGAUGCAGCGACGCCGCGUGAGUGAUGAAGGCCUUCGGGUCGUAAAGCUCUGUCGCAGGGGAAUAACACAAUGAAUGUACCCUGUAAGAAAGGAUCGGCUAACUUCGUGCCAGCAGCCGCGGUAAAAC
rnacentral:rRNA from 1 species